CUAGUCUCGGGCGGUCGCUGCACAUCAGCGAUCGGCUUUGACAGGCCGACUC
rnacentral:ncRNA from 1 species